UACGAAGGGGGCUAGCGUUGCUCGGAAUCACUGGGCGUAAAGCGCACGUAGGCGGACUCUUAAGUCAGGGGUGAAAUCCUGGAGCUCAACUCCAGAACUGCCCUUGAUACUGGGAGCCUUGAGUUCGGGAGAGGUGAGUGGAACUGCGAGUGUAGAGGUGAAAUUCGUAGAUAUUCGCAAGAACACCAGUGGCGAAGGCGGCUCACUGGCCCGAUACUGACGCUGAGGUGCGAAAGCGUGGGGAGCGAACAGG
rnacentral:rRNA from 1 species